GAAAAUCAGUAAGAAAUUUUUUGU
rnacentral:snRNA from 1 species